rnacentral:misc_RNA from 1 species
GCAAACUUGGUCAUUUAGAGGAAGUAAAAGUCGUAACAAGGUUUCCGUAGGUGAACCUGCGGAAGGAUCAUUACAAAAGGCUUUCUUUAAGUGACUUGCUGCUUUGGCAGCGUCACUUUAAAGAAAAACCUCAUGAUUCACCCUGUGUGCACUCAUCUGAGCCGUUCUCUCUUUACUGAGGAAUGGUUCCAUUUCCAAAGCUUUAUUUUUUGUCUGAUUUUCUAAAAAUUUAAUAAUAAUACAACUUUCAACAACGGAUCUCUUGGCUCUCGCAUCGAUGAAGAACGCAGC